rnacentral:tRNA from 1 species
GCUAUAUCAUAAUUGGUUAAUGAUCCUGAUUGUGAAUCAGGCCUUCCAAGCCUCGCUGAGUAGGGUUCGAUUCCCUCUAGCAGCUCCA